GACAGAGGGUGCAAACGUUGUUCGGAAUUACUGGGCGUAAAGCGCGCGCAGGCGGUUCUUCAAGUCAGAGGCGAAAGCCCAGAGCUCAACUCUGGAAUGGCCUUUGAGACUAGAGAACUAGGGUACGGGAGAGGUGAGUGGAAUUCCGAGUGUAGAGGUGAAAUUCGUAGAUAUUCGGAAGAACACCAGUGGCGAAGGCGGCUCACUGGCCCGUUACCGACGCUCAGGCGCGACAGCGUGGGGAGCAAACAGG
rnacentral:rRNA from 1 species